rnacentral:rRNA from 1 species
CCUACGGGAGGCAGCAGUGAGGAAUAUUGGUCAAUGGACGAGAGUCUGAACCAGCCAAGUCGCGUGAAGGAAGACGGAUCUAUGGUUUGUAAACUUCUUUAGUGUGGGAACAAAGCGGCGUCGUGACGCCGGAUGAGUGUACCGCAAGAAUAAGCAUCGGCUAACUCCGUGCCAGCAGCCGCGGUAAUACGGAGGAUGCGAGCGUUAUCCGGAUUUAUUGGGUUUAAAGGGAGCGCAGGCUGCGAGGCAAGUCAGCGGUCAAAUGUCGGGGCUCAACCCCGGCCUGCCGUUGAAACUGUCUUGCUAGAGUUCGAGUGAGGUAUGCGGAAUGCGUUGUGUAGCGGUGAAAUGCAUAGAUAUGACGCAGAACUCCGAUUGCGAAGGCAGCAUACCAACUCGCGACUGACGCUGAGGCUCGAAAGCGUGGGUAUCGAACAGG